AACUCAGAUAGUGUUAGUUCAAUGGAGAAUUUUCGACAUUCUUUUGGCAUAUCUAUAGAAAGCUCCAAGACAAAUAAUUUUCUAAAAAAAAUGGGAACAUUUUUGAAAAGUGUUGGCAUGGCAGUUUUGGACAAACUGCUCUAGAAUCUGGAGAAUAAGUCUCAACGCCCUGACUUUUUAUAGUUCCUCAGAUCUAGAAAUUUAUACGGACGGAAAUGGACAGAUCGCGGUUUUUAUUAUUUUACGAAAAUUGAAGCAGUAGUCAACCUGCGCUGCAUACAGGCUUAGUCCCAACUAGCACUUAAGGUUCGCGAUGUUCCAAAGUUCAUACAAUCGGGCAGUCGGACAAAAGACCAUGGGAAAGCACGACUCGUUUUGUAAUCAUGGACUACAGAGAACUUAUAUACACCCACCUACAAAAACUCCAAUUUAAUUUUUCGCUGCUCAAGUCACAAAACUAUUGACAAUGAAGACAAACCCGGAUCAAAUGAAACCACAAGGAAGUAACUAUUCAGCUGACUGCAAGCAGAGGAAACUUUAAUGUUGCCUUAAUAUACUGCCCUCCUUACACUUAGAUGGACAGAUGCCAUUGCUGGGCAGUUCAUCACACACAAUUGGAGAAGCCACAUGCUACCCCCACCAUGCAACUGCCUCUCCAAGUGCCAUAGAUUUUGGGAUCUCCAAAGGCUUUAGACAGCAACUAAUCAGGGUGAAAGUGCUGACAGAACUGUUAUCUGACCAUCAUCUGCCAUUGAUUGAAGACGCCCAAUCAUUUAGAAGUGUUAAAAAAAUGCUGUCUCCACAAGCGAGAAUUCGGAUCUUUAAAAAACACAUCGAGGCUACUGUAGAACUCAACAUUUUCAUUGACACUUGCAGUAGGCUGGAAGCGUACGUCGACUACUUCACAUCGGCGAUCAUUGAAGCUGCAAGGCAGGCUACACCAAGUUGGUCUCACGGCCAUAAGGAGGCCUGCCAUUUUAAGCUUGGAGGCUAGGGACUUAGCCACAAAAGACGCCUCAGAAGACAAUACACCGCGACAGGAGAUCCUAGCAUUUACCAGCAAUAUUCAUACUCCAACGCUCAGACACGCCCUAUACCUUACCGCAUAAGGUAAUGAUGCAACUAAAGGCUUUGCAGCCAAAAAAAACCCUGGUUACUAUGGCAUAGACAACCGAACUGCGAAAUUUCUACCACGCAAAGGAGUGCUUGCUCUUGUGAAAAUAUUUAAUGCUAUGCUAAGAUUAGGUAAUUUUCCCAGGCAAUGAAAACGUGCGCGCAUUGUAAUGAUCCCCAAAGCUGGAAAGUCACCAACACAGAUCGACUCAUACCGCCCGAUAAUCCUGCUACCAACUUUCUCCAACGUUUUUGAGAGAAUUUUGCUUACCCGCUUGAUGGAACUGCCGGAGGUAGGUAACACAUCCCACAAGAACUAGCUUUGAACAGUCGGCGUAUUUUUGGACGUGAAACAAGCGUUUGAUAAGGUGUGGCAUGAAGGUCUGCUAUAUAAAAUGAAAGAUCUCCUCCGAGCAGCCCAUUAUGCCAUCCUCAGCUCCUUCAUCGCUGAUCGGCCCUUCGAUGUUGCUGUACGAAACUGUCGGUCAAGCCUGGAACACAUUCAUGCAGGGGUUCCACAGGGAAGUGUGCUUGGACCCUUUCCGUAUACCCUGUACACUGCUGACAUGCCAACUCCCGUCAACAACACCGAUGAAGCCUCCCCUGCUCAGCUGCUCCUGGCCACCUACACUGAUGACACCGCCAUGCUUGCGUCGCACUCAUCCUUUCAAUUCAGCCCAAUGCAGUUCAGGAAUGGCUGCAUGCAAUCGAGCGAUGGACUGGUAAAUGGAACAAAUCCAUUACAUACUAAGUCGGCCUGUGUCACAUUUACCCUGCGACCUCAACAUGCCUAGGUCUUCUCUUUGACGGAAAUACCAUUGACCACGUCUCAUCCCACUGCUACUUCGGAGUUCACCUUGAUGGACGCUGAGUUGAAAAGCCCAUAUCACGGCAGUUAGAGCCAAAUCCUCAUGGAAGCUGAAAAAGCUGGACAGGCUUUUCCACUCAAGCAACCCUCAUAUGGCAGUUAAGGCUCCCUUAAUAAAAGCCAUAUUAGGUCCAACACUGACCCACGCAAUCCAAGUGUGGAGUGUGCCUCUGGGACUCAGCUCAAUGGGCUUGGAGUAAUACAAUCGCGAGCGGCACGACAUGCAUCUGGGCUACCCUGGUAUGUGAGCAACCGAGUCAUCGAAAAGGACUUAAAAGUUGUCCCACUGGGAGACCAAAUAAACUUCCACAGCAGCCGAUAUGCCGACAGACUUAGCGCCCACCCGAACUCGUUGGCGAAUCUUGUCGACCCUUUUUCCCCCUAUUUUACAUUUGUAUACAUUAUAAUUAAGGAACAGUAUCCAUAAUAUUAAGCAACACAUUAAGUUCAUAAGUUCAGAACAAUAAAAGAUUUCAAAAAAAAAAAAACAUUCUUCGUGUUGAUUCUGUACGAGUAUGAACACAAGAAAUCAACAUGCACUUUACAAUUUUAUAUUCAAUGCAUAUAUUUAUGUCUUCAUGUUUUAAAAAAUCAAGUAAUUAUACCACCCAAGACCUGACAUUAAUUUAGCUUAAUCUAGAUAACGACAAAAAAUUUAAUUCACUGGUAAGCAUAAUUAUUAUUUGAUACCCAAUCUGCCACCGAAAUGCUCUUCUGUGGAAGCGUUUUCAAAAAAAAAAAAAACAAGCCAACAGUGUAUAACAAAAUACACGGAAAAAAUUAAUCAGCAUUACCAAGGAACCUUGCGUUAAAAUUAUUCGGAUAAUCUUGCAGUUCAAGAUUACUCGUGGUUGAAAACGGCUGCGGCCCACCUAAAAAAUCAUAAGUAAGAGCUGUCCCAAAUGCAA